rnacentral:rRNA from 1 species
AUGGCAUACGAUAUGCUGCAUGAUAUUAGCAAUCAGAAGGAUUCCUGGAAAGUCAAGGUCAGAAUAAUUAGGCUAUGGGAUGCCAUUAACCUCAACAGCAAUGAACUUAUUAGCCUUGACAUGAUACUACUUGAUGAAAAGCGCACUAUGAUACAUGGCAAGGUAAUGAAACAUAUGGUUAACAAGUUUAGACCAUUGAUCCAAGAAGGUUUAGUCUACAUGAUAGCAAAUUUUAAGGUUAUGUCUGCAAUGAAUUUCCGUCCAGUUGAGAGUGAAAAGAUUCUAAAUUUCUUGCACACGACAAAAAUUCAAGAGAUAAAAGUUCUAAAAAAUAUCAGAAUAGCAGAGUAG